UCCUGUUCUUGUUUAAUUUCCCUCCAUUUGGUCCCACACACUUGCUCUUAAUUAGUCCCGCCCCUUCACUUCCUGUGUCCUGAGAGUGUAGUUCGGUCCCCGAGCGCCGCUUGAACGUGUGUUGUCUCCAAAACGGCCUCAUUAUUGGCUUGUUUUACACCCUUACAGAUGCGCCAUCAAACUUAAUGACAACCUCAAGUUAUUCAGGUCCACGAAGAUUGAACCAAAGGCAAGUGGUCGACUUCGUUGUUGGUGAAAGAGGUUUUUCCUCUCUGAAGACAUCGUAAUGGAAGGUUUUAAGACAAAAUUGGACAAUGCAAGCACAGAGAACGAGAGACAGAUGGACGCCCACCUGCAGUUGUUUCUUUGCAGUGUCAUUUCACUGAUGACUGCUAUGACAGAGCACCUUCACAAGAAGCAUUUGGCUUGAAGGUACGGUAUAAACACAUUUUGUAAAAGCAUACUACUUUGCUGGUACACAGGGAAAAAAAAGACAAGAGGAAUGACGUCAAAGUUACCACAGAACAGACUGACAGGUAUCACCCCGAUGACAUCACUACGGAAAUGAGACUGAACAGCGAGAGCUAGCUCAUCAUGGCUGGUGCCAUGAACCAUAAAUGCAUAAAUGAGAUCUUCCCCAUCAAUUGUCAUCACCUGCAGCGGACCUUGAACCAGGCCUGCUUGGAAGUUGUUAGCUGACUGGGUCAAAGUCUUCCAACACCAAGA